rnacentral:ncRNA from 2 species
CGCACCUCCUUGGAAGAGAGUCAUCCGUAUCGUGGAUGACCGCCGAAGGCGCAACGUCCGCCCGGAAUCGCUCAGGCUGUAGGACCGGGGAGGUGUA